UUUAUGGAGAGUUUGAUCCUGGCUCAGGAUGAACGCUGGCGGCGUGCCUAAUACAUGCAAGUCGAGCGAACGGACGAGAAGCUUGCUUCUCUGAUGUUAGCGGCGGACGGGUGAGUAACACGUGGAUAACCUACCUAUAAGACUGGGAUAACUUCGGGAAACCGGAGCUAAUACCGGAUAAUAUUUUGAACCGCAUGGUUCAAAAGUGAAAGACGGUCUUGCUGUCACUUAUAGAUGGAUCCGCGCUGCAUUAGCUAGUUGGUAAGGUAACGGCUUACCAAGGCAACGAUGCAUAGCCGACCUGAGAGGGUGAUCGGCCACACUGGAACUGAGACACGGUCCAGACUCCUACGGGAGGCAGCAGUAGGGAAUCUUCCGCAAUGGGCGAAAGCCUGACGGAGCAACGCCGCGUGAGUGAUGAAGGUCUUCGGAUCGUAAAACUCUGUUAUUAGGGAAGAACAUAUGUGUAAGUAACUGUGCACAUCUUGACGGUACCUAAUCAGAAAGCCACGGCUAACUACGUGCCAGCAGCCGCGGUAAUACGUAGGUGGCAAGCGUUAUCCGGAAUUAUUGGGCGUAAAGCGCGCGUAGGCGGUUUUUUAAGUCUGAUGUGAAAGCCCACGGCUCAACCGUGGAGGGUCAUUGGAAACUGGAAAACUUGAGUGCAGAAGAGGAAAGUGGAAUUCCAUGUGUAGCGGUGAAAUGCGCAGAGAUAUGGAGGAACACCAGUGGCGAAGGCGACUUUCUGGUCUGUAACUGACGCUGAUGUGCGAAAGCGUGGGGAUCAAACAGGAUUAGAUACCCUGGUAGUCCACGCCGUAAACGAUGAGUGCUAAGUGUUAGGGGGUUUCCGCCCCUUAGUGCUGCAGCUAACGCAUUAAGCACUCCGCCUGGGGAGUACGACCGCAAGGUUGAAACUCAAAGGAAUUGACGGGGACCCGCACAAGCGGUGGAGCAUGUGGUUUAAUUCGAAGCAACGCGAAGAACCUUACCAAAUCUUGACAUCCUUUGACAACUCUAGAGAUAGAGCCUUCCCCUUCGGGGGACAAAGUGACAGGUGGUGCAUGGUUGUCGUCAGCUCGUGUCGUGAGAUGUUGGGUUAAGUCCCGCAACGAGCGCAACCCUUAAGCUUAGUUGCCAUCAUUAAGUUGGGCACUCUAAGUUGACUGCCGGUGACAAACCGGAGGAAGGUGGG
rnacentral:rRNA from 1 species